CAGUCGCCACGGUAAUACGAAGGGUGCAAGCGUUAAUCGGAAUUACUGGGCGUAAAGCGCGCGUAGGUGGUUCAUUAAGUUGGAUGUGAAAGCCCUGGGCUCAACCUGGGAACUGCAUCCAAAACUGGCGAGCUAGAGUAUGGUAGAGGGUGGUGGAAUUUCCUGUGUAGCGGUGAAAUGCGUAGAUAUAGGAAGGAACAUCAGUGGCGAAGGCGACCACCUGGACUGAUACUGACACUGAGGUGCGAAAGCGUGGGGAGCAAACAGGAUUAGAUACCCGCGUAGUCCCUGUCUCUUAUAC
rnacentral:rRNA from 1 species